rnacentral:rRNA from 1 species
UACAGAGGUCUCAAGCGUUGUUCGGAUUCAUUGGGCGUAAAGGGUGCGUAGGCGGCGCGGUAAGUCGGGUGUGAAAUCUCGGAGCUUAACUCCGAAACUGCAUUCGAUACUGCCGUGCUUGAGGACUGGAGAGGAGACUGGAAUUUACGGUGUAGCGGUGAAAUGCGUAGAUAUCGUAAGGAACACCAAUUGCGAAGGCGCUCGCUGGAACGUAACUGACGCUGAGACGCGAAAGCGUGGGGAGCAAACAGG